rnacentral:lncRNA from 1 species
UUUCCUUCAAGUACCUCACCCAGCAGCCAGGAAGAUUCCUCUUCAUGUCAAAUCGGUCUGAAGGGCACACUAGGCACGCGGUGGCCCUGACACUGCCCCUCCCUGGUCCUUUCCAACAGCACCGAGGACAUGGAGGUCGGCCCAGGCUCAGGAAUCACAGAGCUAACUGCUCAUUUCGGCAUCACAAGCACGAGCAGACGAAUUUCAGAGACAGAAGCCAACAUCCCCACCCCUCAUCUUCAGAGGCUCCAGCCUGCCUGGCCUCUGUGGCUGGGUGGCCAGCCAAGGGCUCUGGAAUUGGAGAGGCCUUGCUUCUCUACAGCAGGGUGUGACCCGCUCUGGCCUGCUGGCCCUCCUGCCCCAGGGACCGAGUAGGAGGCACUUUUGAUUCCACCCGGGCUCUCAGGGGGAUGAGGUGGCCUCAGGUGAGAGAUCCUGAUUGGCCACCCCAGAGCCCCGGUGGAAGGUGCAGCAGAGAGAAGGUCCUUUGGAUCCGAUAAGCAGAAGGAUUUUAAACACUCUCUGAAGCUGUCUGAAGAUCUGAGAUUUUUCCACUCAUUUAUUCAGCAAGUAUUCGCCGAAUGCCUAUUACAUGCCAGGAGCUAAGGACACUAUUUCCAAAGAACAGCUCAUCCAAAAGGCAUGUGAGUGCCCAUUACUGCCAGGACCUGAGGCUGCAUGGAUGAAGAGACAGAUCUUGCCUUGAAAGGCACUGUGGCCUGGCAUGGGAGAGACAGGUGAGCCACUGUGUUAGGAGAGCUAUUAAUAGGGUACAGGAACAGAAGAAACGCUCCACGGCCCAAGGGAUGGGCAGGGAGGGCUUCGGAUGAGAGCACCAGAACCCAGGGCCAUGAACAGCAAAGUCAUCUGAUGACCUUACUCUCCGCUCAGCACUCAGAACCACCCAGCUCCAUGUCCCAACACCCACAGAGGACUGAGGUGGGGCAGACACCAGUGUGAGAUGGAGACAGAAGGUGGGGAACUGGCAACAUUCAUCUGAAAAUGCAGCCACAGGGAAACGGCUCGAGACUGAAAGGGUUCUAACACACACUGAAAACCUACCAUUCGCUGUGACCGCAGCGGGGACCAGAGAUGGAGAGGCAGUGUGCGGCACUGAGUCCUUACCAAAUGGGGUCACAGACCCCUGGCAGCUCCGGAAAGACCAAAGAAUCCGAAGCGGGGAAAUAGCUUCACUUCACUUCAACCUUACUAUAGAAAGAUACAUUUUUGCAGUUGUAAUUCACAAGUGGAAGACGUACGGACAGAAUAAAGCACUCGUUUAAGACAGUCUUUCCACGAUGAGGGAUGCCGGUUCACUGACACAGUGACUUUGAGACAUAAUACUGGAGCUGAAUGUUUCACAUUAACCAGCUGAAUCCUUUAAACCUAAGUGCUAAGUACUGCCCACCUUUCAGAAGAAACUGAAGCUCAAGGGCUCAGCUUUGAAAGUGGCACAGCUCGCCGGUCACGGUGGCUCACACCUGUAAUCCUGGCACUUUGGGAGGCUGAGGUGGGCAGAUAACGAGGUCAAGAGAUGGAGACCCUCCUGGCAACAUGGUGAAACCGUGUCUCCACUAAAAAUAGAAAAAUCAGCUGGGCGUGGUGGCGCACGCCUGUAGUGCCAGCUACUUGGGAGGCCGAGGCAGGAGAAUUGCUUGAACCCAAGAGGCAGAGGUUGCAGUGAGCCGAGAUUGUGCCAUUGCACUCCAGCUUGGGCGACAGAAAAAAAAAAAGAGAGAGAAAGUGGCACAGCUGAGAUGUGAACCUAGCAGUCUGGGCCCCAGCCUGCUUUUAGCCACUUGGCCAGCAUUCCCUGAGGUGGGAGCUUUCAGAAAUCCUGAUGUCCAGACUGUACCCUAUCCCGAUGAAACCAGAAUCGCUGGGGUGGGCCCCAAGCACCAGCCAUUUCUUCAACUCUCCAGGCUGACUGGCUUUCCUGUGUGGAUAAAGUGUGAUCUGAAAGCAAC